GCUGGGUGAGUAGCGAUCACCUGUAACCCAUGCGGGGGCAAGAUCUGUGUGGAUGGUGUAUCGUGCCCAGUGCCGGUCAGAGAUCGGUUGCCCGUCCCAAGGGGCCACUAAGUUUGGGUGGGACGACGGAAGUCAUCACAUCCGGGCAUCUGAAGACGCGGGCACUGGCCAAGGCUGGGAACAGAGCAGGCAAUACCGCGCGGUGGAACCAGUGAGGGUGGAAAGUGGCUGAGAGAUCGGUAGCCUGGGCAAUAACAGCGACAUGCCAAACACAAAGAUC
rfam:Perkinsus marinus ATCC 50983 gcontig_1104296794540, whole genome shotgun sequence.